UAAUACGUAGGGGGCGAGCGUUGUCCGGAAUUACUGGGCGUAAAGGGUGCGUAGGUGGCUUGUUAAGUUGGAUGUGAAAUCCCCGGGCUCAACUUGGGUGGUGCAUUCAAAACUGGCGAGCUAGAGUGCAGGAGAGGGAAGCGGAAUUCCUAGUGUAGCGGUGAAAUGCGUAGAUAUUAGGAGGAACACCAGUGGCGAAGGCGGCUUUCUGGACUGUAACUGACACUGAGGCACGAAAGCGUGGGGAGCAAACAGGAUUAGAUACCCUGGUAGUCCACGCUGUAAACGAUGAAUACUAGGUGUAGGGGGUAUGAACUCCCCCUGUGCCGCAGCUAACGCAAUAAGUAUUCCGCCUGGGGAGUACGGCCGCAAGGUUGAAACUCAAAUGAAUUGACGG
rnacentral:rRNA from 1 species